GACGAACGCUGGCGGCGUGCUUAACACAUGCAAGUCGAACGGAAAGGCCCUGCUUUUGUGGGGUGCUCGAGUGGCGAACGGGUGAGUAACACGUGAGUAACCUGCCCUUGACUUUGGGAUAACUUCAGGAAACUGGGGCUAAUACCGGAUAGGAGCUCCUGCUGCAUGGUGGGGGUUGGAAAGUUUCGGCGGUUGGGGAUGGACUCGCGGCUUAUCAGCUUGUUGGGGGGGUAGUGGCUUACCAAGGCUUUGACGGGUAGCCGGCCUGAGAGGGUGACCGGCCACAUUGGGACUGAGAUACGGCCCAGACUCCUACGGGAGGCAGCAGUGGGGAAUAUUGCACAAUGGGCGGAAGCCUGAUGCAGCAACGCCGCGUGCGGGAUGACGGCCUUCGGGUUGUAAACCGCUUUCGCCUGUGACGAGGCGUGAGUGACGGUAAUGGGUAAAGAAGCACCGGCUAACUACGUG
rnacentral:rRNA from 1 species